GUCACAGCGAUAGGUGACCUUCUCGAGAAGUACUGCGAGGUCAAUUUAAACUCGAAUUUCGAUUCAUAAAAUGUGACGCCGCAGUCCUUACGACUAUUGCAAACACAGUGAAAAAAAGAAAACCAUGAAAAUUAAUUUUUAAGUAGGUCAAAUAAUUAGAUCAGAGAUCCGAAAGAAAUAUCAAAUAACUUGCAAACCAGAUCAGACCGGCGAGGGGCAAAUUAGUCAAUUCACCUCUAGAGGUGAUUCCUGACCUAAUUGUCCAAUAAAAUCGGAGAAAUGAAAAUUUCAGAAUAGCAAAUUAAAUUAAAGAACUAUGAAAAAAAUUAAAGAAGAAUAGAAAAAGAAAAGAAAAGUGGAUUAUUACAUUAUCAUCUUACCUCAUGCAUAAUGCAAUAAAAAUAAUUUUAAUUAACCAAAAUUUGACUAAGUCAAAAGCAAGAUAAAUACUAAAAAUUAAAAGAAAAAAAUGGGUCUUCUUCCUCCAUCAAGUGCUGUCCACUUCUCUUCUCUCUCAUCUCUUUCUUGUUUCCUCCAUUGAAGCUUAAUUUAAAGCUUCACAAACCCUAAAAUUCUCCAUUAAAUCCCCAAAAAUUCUUGAUAAACCCUACUUUGGCAACUUGAAAAGUAGAUUGAAGAAGAAAAGGAAGGAAGAAAGUUGACCAAUUGAAGGAUUUGAGCUUUAAAGAGAGGUUAGUGAUCUAAACUUGAAUAUUUUAGUUAAAUGUUUAUGUUCUUAGUUCAAUUAACUUAAAAAUAUACUUAAAAUUAAAAGAAAACUAUCCUUGGGGACCAAAUAGAAAUUUAGCUAGCAGUAGGUUAGGGCUUGAAAUGAGUGAAUUUGAUGCAUUUGAAUGGUUGUUUAGGUUGAAUUAUGUAUGUAGACUAUGGAUAGGUGUUUAGAAUGCAUUAGAUUUGAAUUUUAUGAAAGUUAGGGUUUUGGACCUAGGGUUUGAGAGAUGAAAUUUUGAGAAUUGGCCAAAUGGUGUGUUUGACCUUGUUUGAGCUGAAAAAUGGUCAUGUAUGACCAAUUGUGGUGUGUUGGAAGUGUUGGAACCAAAUGGAAAUUCGGAUUGGUUAUGGGCAUUCUGCAGGCAGCAUGACCAAGGUCCCUUUCAGGGACAAAAACUGAAAAUUUACCAACUCAAUUGGUGUGAGGCCAAUUAGGAAUGAAAUUAGACACAAAAUGACACAUUUUUC
rnacentral:misc_RNA from 1 species